rnacentral:rRNA from 1 species
GUCCACGCCGUAAACGAUGUGUGCUAGACGUUGGGGAGCCUAGCUCUUCGGUGUCGCAGCUAACGCUUUAAGCACACCGCCUGGGGAGUACGGCCGCAAGGUUAAAACUCAAAGGAAUUGACGGGGCCCGCACAAGCGGUGGAGCAUGUGGUUUAAUUCGACGCAACGCGAAGAACCUUACCAGCCCUUGACAUGUCCGGUAUGGGUGGGGAGACCCCAUUCUUCAGUUCGGCUGGCCGGAACACAGGUGCUGCAUGGCUGUAGU